ensembl:lncRNA
CUGAUUAUUAACCCUGUUAGUAACCCUACUGUUUAUUAACCCUGUUAGUAACCCUACUACAUAGUACUGUUUAUUAACCCUGUUAGUAACCUAAUACAUAGUACUUACUUUAUUAAGCCUUCACCUGUAAAACACAGUUUCAAACAACAUAAAAUAGCUGGCUUUACAAUGCACAGUCAGGUGUGUGUGAGAGUGUGUGUGUGUCAGAGAAAGAAAGGGAGUGUGUGUGUGUGAGAGAGGGAAAGGAAGUGUGUUUCAGUCUUUUAGGAAUGUCAUUCCUCCUUCCUCUUUUCUCCUUCCAUGGAAAGUCUCGUGAACAAAAGCCAUCUUCACUCACCAAUAGAAAAGUCAGGGAAAAAUUCUGUCACCAAUAGAAAAUCAGCAAGAAAGGCUUCGCAUUGGCUUUUCUUUAACCAAUCAUCUCCCACUCUGCACGUUUCUUGAUUCGGAGCCACACCUUACAAUCGUGUGAUUCGCUAAGAUCAUAUAAUGCCAAACAUUUAGUUGACUCCCACAUACAGUAGAUUAUACUUGAAUAUGACGCAUGAUGAAGAGGUCAGUCUCUCAGAGGGAAGGCUCUACUCAGGACCACCUCCAAUCUGUCUCCUCCCAGAAGACACAACUCCAGAACACACACCAGCCUCUGAUUGGCCAGCUGGGAGGCCGUUGCGAUCAGAUCCGCUAGGAUAGGACGAAAGAGGACAGUAAUCAUUAUUUUGGUGUGUGUUAUCAGGUGGAGGUGGAGGUGUGUGUUACCAGGUGGAGGUGUGUGUUACCAGGUGGAGGUGUGUGUUACCAGGUGGAGGUGCGUGUUACCAGGUGGAGGUGUAGGUGUGUGUUACCAGGUGGAGGUGUGUGUUACCAGGUGGAGGUGUGUGUUAUCAGGU